rnacentral:ncRNA from 1 species
ACAGUACAGACUGAGCAGGCCGUGACGGUACGUCAUGGAGUCGGGUCACAUAGGUGACAGUGGAAUCUGAACAUCCACGGGACAGU